UUACGGCCACAUCACGCUGAAAUACCGGUUCGCGUAUGAUCACUGAAGUUAAGCAACCUCGAGCCGGGUUAGUGCCUAGAUGGGUGAUCGCUA